rnacentral:misc_RNA from 1 species
UCCCCGUUACCGGGGCAGUCUAGCUAGAGAAAUUCAACUAACUAUAAGGGUUGCGCUCGUUAAUGGACUUAACCAAACAUCUCACGACACGAGCUGACGACGGCCAUGCAACACCUGUCUUAGGGUUCAAUAAAGCACAGUCUACUUUCGCAGACCUUCCCUAGAUGUCAAACCCUGGUAAGGUUCUUCGCUUAUCGUCGAAUUAAACAACACGCUCCACCGCUUGUGCGGGUCCCCGUCAAUUCCUUUAUGUUUUAAGCUUGCGCUCGUACUCCACAGGCGGGAUGCUUAACGCGUUAGCUUCGCUACUACGAGGGUCGAUACUCAUAACAGCUAGCAUCCAUAGUUUACGGCGUGGACUAC